GGUCAUGAGCGUCAGCGACAAGCCCCGGCUCGCUGGCCGGCAACCCUCCACCCGCGGUGGGGUGCCCCGGGUGAAGACCUGGCCCGUGGGCGCCGCCGACGGGCAAGCGCGGAGA
rnacentral:ncRNA from 2 species